GACGAACGCUGGCGGCGUGCUUAACACAUGCAAGUCGAACGGUAAGGCCCUUCGGGGUACACGAGUGGCGAACGGGUGAGUAACACGUGAGUGAUCUGCCCUGCACUUCGGGAUAAGCCUGGGAAACUGGGUCUAAUACCGGAUAGGACCACUGCCUGCAUGGGUGGUGGUGGAAAGCUUUUGCGGUGUGGGAUGGGCCCGCGGCCUAUCAGCUUGUUGGUGGGGUGAUGGCCUACCAAGGCGACGACGGGUAGCCGGCCUGAGAGGGUGACCGGCCAUACUGGGACUGAGAUACGGCCCAGACUCCUACGGGAGGCAGCAGUGGGGAAUAUUGCACAAUGGGCGCAAGCCUGAUGCAGCGACGCCGCGUGAGGGAUGACGGCCUUCGGGUUGUAAACCUCUUUCAGCACCGACGAAGCGCAAGUGACGGUAGGUGCAGAAGAAGGACCGGCCAACUACGUGCCAGCAGCCGCAGUAA
rnacentral:rRNA from 1 species